AGUGAACGCUGGCGGUAGGCCUAACACAUGCAAGUCGAACGGCAGCACAGUAAGAGCUUGCUCUUACGGGUGGCGAGUGGCGGACGGGUGAGGAAUACAUCGGAAUCUACUUUUUGUGGGGGAUAACGUAGGGAAACUUACGCUAAUACCGCAUACGACCUACGGGUGAAAGCAGGGGAUCUUCGGACCUUGCGCGAUUGAAUGAGCCGAUGUCGGAUUAGCUAGUUGGCGGGGUAAAGGCCCACCAAGGCGACGAUCCGUAGCUGGUCUGAGAGGAUGAUCAGCCACACUGGAACUGAGACACGGUCCAGACUCCUACGGGAGGCAGCAGUGGGGAAUAUUGGACAAUGGGCGCAAGCCUGAUCCAGCCAUACCGCGUGGGUGAAGAAGGCCUUCGGGUUGUAAAGCCCUUUUGUUGGGAAAGAAAAGCAGCAGGUUAAUACCCCGCUGUUCUGACGGUACCCAAAGAAUAAGCACCGGCUAACUUCGUG
rnacentral:rRNA from 1 species